rnacentral:rRNA from 1 species
CCUUCGGGGUACUCGAGCGGCGAACGGGUGAGUAACACGUGAGCAACCUGCCCUAGGCUUUGGGAUAACCCCGGGAAACCGGGGCUAAUACCGAAUAUGACCUCGCAUCGCAUGGUGUGUGGUGGAAAGUUUUUCGGCCUGGGAUGGGCUCGCGGCCUAUCAGCUUGUUGGUGGGGUGAUGGCCUACCAAGGCGACGACGGGUAGCCGGCCUGAGAGGGCGACCGGCCACACUGGGACUGAGACACGGCCCAGACUCCUACGGGAGGCAGCAGUGGGGAAUAUUGCACAAUGGGCGGAAGCCUGAUGCAGCGACGCCGCGUGAGGGAUGACGGCCUUCGGGUUGUAAACCUCUUUCAGCAGGGACGAAGCGUAAGUGACGGUACCUGCAGAAGAAGCGCCGGCCAACUACGUGCCAGCAGCCGCGGUAAGACGUAGGGCGCGAGCGUUGUCCGGAUUUAUUGGGCGUAAAGAGCUCGUAGGCGGCUUGUCGCGUCGACCGUGAAAACCUGGGGCUCAACCCCAGGCCUGCGGUCGAUACGGGCAGGCUAGAGUUCGGUAGGGGAGACUGGAAUUCCUGGUGUAGCGGUGAAAUGCGCAGAUAUCAGGAGGAACACCGGUGGCGAAGGCGGGUCUCUGGGCCGAUACUGACGCUGAGGAGCGAAAGCGUGGGGAGCGAACAGGAUUAGAUACCCUGGUAGUCCACGCUGUAAACGUUGGGCGCUAGGUGU